rnacentral:lncRNA from 1 species
GAGCGUAAUAAUUUCCACUUUGUUUUGAUUUUAACGAAAAAGAAAGUGAGUUGACGAGCUAUUUGAAACACAAGCACCACAUCCCCCCUAUAAAUACACCACCACCACCACCACCUCCUCCUCCGCAACCAUCAUCACCACCACCACCUCCUCUCCAAUUUCUCACUCUUCCUCUGUAUAUCACACACAGACGCGCGCGCACAAUGAAUCAGCAUGGCACGACUGUGACGCAAUUCGUGAUGGAAGCCUCAGUGGCGGAAUCCAUCGCCCAAUCUCUGAACCU